CUCCUUUUCUUCUUUAUGCUUCUCUUUAUCUUCGGUGUGGAAAUCAUUAAACCGCCUUAGGAGAGCACCAAGGCUUUUGUCCACACUAGCAACGGAUUCCUCCAAACGUGUGAGCUUGUUGUUUGUGGCAAUCUGCGUAGUCUCCAACAGCCCCAGCUUUUCAUUUGUCACCUGCAAGUCGUUAUCAAGUCCCUCUGUGUGCAGCUUCACUUUCCUUUCAAAAUGUUGUAUGAUGCCCUUAGUGCGAGGUGUAAGUGGUGUUUCGUUACCAUCAUCUGCCCCUGGCAUGGUUCAAAGAUAAAGACAACAAAAAGGCAAGUGAAGAAAUAAAAGCCCUACAACUACUAGGAUGUAGCUACAGCAAGUCGCUCACACUCAACCUGUAACACAAGUUCUUACCAAUUCUUUCCUUGCUUGACAGGAGGGGUCGUCUGCCAACAAGUGUACAGCAAUGGACGAAGUGUAUCGGUGCUGCAGCACAAGACCUGUCAAGCUGUAGAGUAUGUGGAGCUAUAGGUGGGCUGAAACAAGGAACGAACUAGCACCACGUUAGUUAUAAAAGCGAGCUGAAUAAACGCUCAACGGUGGUACUGUGCUGGUCCUAGCCUAGACCGUGCUAGAGACGCGAGCCUGGACACAAAGGGAAAACACAGCACACCACUAGAAACAAAAUGAGCAGCCCUACUGGAAACAAAAGGAACAACAAUCCCCUUUUUUGAUUUUUUUUUCUUUUUUCUUUCUUUUUUUUUUCUUUAUUUUUUUUCUUUCUCUUUUCUUUUUUUUUGGGGGAACCUCAAAACCUGAUUAUAUAAACAAAAUAGUACAAAAUAUCACUUCACCACUCUCACCCUCUCACUAGAGUAAGGCUGAACCUCAAAAUUCAAUAUAUCUAGCACAAGUAUGAAGUGCUAUCUUUCCUUUUGGAUCACGUUGAUGGAAACGCAGAAUAGACCAACAAGUGGCUGCACCAAUUAUCAAGAUCUACUCAAAUUCCAACCCACAAUAGAUUGGACGCAGUUGUGACUAGAUGGUGACAAGAACUCAAAACUCUAAAGGACUAAACUAAAACCAGCACUGGACACGACCGAAGCAAACACUCAUUCAACCAGCCCUAACUAAGUAGUACUAGCCACGGCACAAAGGAUUUAUAGGAUUAUGGAAAACAAAUCUGCUAUAUUUUUUUGUCUUUUUUUUGGACUAUAGGAAAAACAAACACGAAGAAUUGGAAAUCUCUCACCGAUAAACCUUGCUCUGAUUACCAACUGAUGCGAACCCGCUAGGGUUUUUGGCCUGAUCUUUCGAUGAGAGGCGCUGGAUAACUCGAUUAGUGGAUGGAGAUGACGUUCACGGCCCGACUACAGCCCUCAAGACCGCGCCUUAGCAACCGAUACACCACGUCCAACAGCCGUCACGAUCUUGUGGAGCGCGACAACCAACCCCUAGGGCUCCCGUCCUGCAAGCAAUCGAAGAACUAGCAAGAACGAGGAAACAAGCACUGAAUUUGCAAGAUGAAUUGAAGGUUUUAAACUGAAUCUUAAUCAACAAUGGGGUUCCGAAGACAAGGAGACGGGCGGCUGAUCCUGCACGCGCGCCUACAAGCAAGUAGCGAAGGCUAAACUUGAUCUAAACAAAACCCAGUUGUUCAUGGCGGCUCUAGAUGUAUAUAAAUAGAGGGGAGGACGACCAAAGGGGUGCUGGAGUCGUCCUCCAACCCUAGGACGCGUCCCUAAUGGACUCAACUUGAUACAUGGGCCAUUGGUCCAAAAUAGGGUGACGCAGCACCAAAACAGAAAAAGGUGUCGGUACGAAAACAAGGACUGCGCCCGACUCAUAAGCUG
rnacentral:lncRNA from 1 species